UCUACUCCACCUGAUUGGCUGAAGGUCAAUGCGCAAGCAAAGCGGCACGUCUUUGCCAAACAAUCAAGGGCUGGUGGAUAUCAAAUGCGACCUAUUCUACCCGAAUCUUUUUAAAAAUCAAUCCCUACGAGCUUUUCGUAUUGUAAUCGUUUGAAAGCAUGGCGGAAAGCGAGGUGGACACGCCGAGCACCCCGAUUGAAUACGAAAGCAAAUACUUCGAGUAUCAUGGAGUUCGACUCCCUCCUUUCUGCAGGGGCAAGAUGGACGAGAUCGCCAACUUUUCGUUAAGAAGUAGCGACAUAUGGAUCGUUACAUACCCCAAAUCAGGUACGAGUUUGUUACAGGAGGUGGUGUAUCUGGUGAGCCAGGGUGCGGACCCAGAUGAGAUCGGGCUCAUGAAUAUUGAUGAGCAGCUUCCUGUGUUGGAAUACCCACAGCCGGGUUUGGAGAUUAUCCAGGAACUGACGUCGCCUCGUCUGAUCAAAAGCCACCUGCCGUACCGUUUCCUCCCCACAGCGAUGCACAAUGGAGAAGGCAAGGUGAUAUAUAUGGCCAGGAACCCUAAAGACCUGGUGGUGUCCUACUACCAGUUUCAUCGCUCUUUACGCACCAUGAGCUACCGGGGAACGUUCCAGGAGUUCUGCAGGCGAUUCAUGAACGACAAGUUGGGAUACGGUUCCUGGUUUGAGCAUGUUCAGGAGUUCUGGGAGCAUCGCAUGGACUCUAAUGUUCUCUUUUUGAAAUAUGAGGACAUGUACAAGGAUCUGGGGAACCUGGUGGAGCAGCUGGCUCGAUUUCUGGGUAUCGCGUGUGAUAAAGCCCAGCUGGAGGGCAUGGUGGAGAGCUGUAACCAACUCAUUGAGCAGUGCUGCAACUCCGAGGCCCUGUCCAUCUACCGGGUGCAUGGAUUCUUGGCAUGGCAUGAUGCUGAAAAAUCUCACUACAUACAGUAGGGACUUAUUAUAGAAACAGUGAACAUGAAGAUGGAAAAUGUGUGAGAGAGAGGUACAGAAGGUCGUUUUGGGCUUUGGAAGGACAUUUUCACUGUGUCCAUGAACGAAAAGUUUGAUGCUGUUUACCGACAGAAGAUGGCAAAGUCUGACCUGACCUUUGACUUUAACCUGUGAGGAAGCGAAACUGGACUAUCUGUUAACCGCUCAAACAACCAACCAAGAAGUUCACCUGCUGUGCUUAAUGUCACCUGAUGGACGUUCCCCAUCCAGAGUUUAUCUUUCCAUCCCCAUCAUCUCUUGCUCAUCAAUGCUUUCAUUAGUUACUCGAAAGUUACUUCUCAGUACAGAUACAUGGUCAGUACUAAGAGGCUUUUUUCUUUCUCUUGUGUAUUUGUAUAACAUUGCAUAAGCAGUGCUAGUCCGAAGUGUAAGCACAGUGCUUGUUGCGUUUGCACAUUGUACAGAGCUAUUCCAUAUCCCAAAGGCGCUUAUGAAAUGUGUAUUUAUUAAAAAUUAGAAAUGAAAAUGAUUUAGACUAUAUUCUAUACGCUAAAGCUGUAAUGACAAACUCUCAGGAGGAUUCUUGAAAUCAUUGGCUAAUAGAUGCACCAAAUAUGCAGUCAUCCAAUCACAGCUCAGGUCAUGAAAACCUGAGCCUCAUGAUGAAUGCUGAUUGGCUCAUGGCCAAAAGAUCUUAAAGUAUGUGUGGAAUAUAAUUUCACUUCUUCUUCUUGUGCACCUCUCUUAGUGGCUUCUAGACAGCUUUGACUUAUAUUCCAGUAUGGCUAUUCAUUGAUACUGUAACGAAAGGUAAAUCACAUCUGUAUUUUCAUUUUUUAAUGUAUCACGUCUACAUAUUUAGAUCAUCCCCCAGGAUCAUUCACAUGAACAUACACUCCGUGUAUGUAUAAAGGAGUAGGAAGGGGAUCUUUUUAGAACAUUUUACAUCAGUUACAUGCAUAUCAUAAUAUAAUGCAUCAGAAGUGUUGUUGUGAGCAGAUAUGAGUUUGUAUUUCAUCAUUAUGUCUUGGUCAAAGGUAUAAAAGAUGGGUAAGGUGAACUCAAAUACCAGCACUCCUGACAAAGUGACUUAUAACCUCACAUAUCCAACAAUUGCUGUGUUCAGAAUGGAAUACUAGCAUACUAUGUACUAAACUGUACUGUAUGCUAUUGUUAAAAAUAAUAUGUGCAACAGUAUGCAUUAUGCCACUAAAUAGAUCAAUCAGUAGUAUGCCACAUUGUCACAUGACCUUGUUAAGCACGUUUAAUUCAGAGAGUGAUGGUUGUGUCGAAAAUAAAAUGGCUAUUUUGGCAUUUUUUUUAUAUCUACAAGUUCCUCGUGAGUUUAUAUCCCGCAAUUCUGACUGUUUUUCUCAGAGUUGUGAGAUGUAAACUCUCAAUUGCGAGGUAUAAAGUCCAAAUUGCAAAAAAUAAACUCACAGUUCUAAAAAACAAAAAUCACUUUUAUUUUUUUAAUUCAAUGGCGGAAACAAGGUUCUAUUGUUUUCUGUGCAGUGUGUGCUAUUCUUGUUUCCACCACUAAAUAAAAAAUAAAAAUAAAAAAGGUAACUGCAACUUUUUAUCUCACAAUUCUGACUUUUUUCUCGCAAUUGCGAGUUAUAAAGUCAGAAUUACGUGAUAUAAAGUCUGAAUUGUGAGUUAUAAAGUCGCAAUUCUGACUUGUUUCUCACAAUUGCAAGUUAUAAAGUCAGAAUUACGUGAUAUAAACUCACAAUUGCGAGUUAUAAAGUAAGAAUUGCAUGAUAUAAACUCAGAAUUGCGAGUUAUAAAGUCAGAAUUGCCAGAUAUAAACUCACAAUUCUGCCUUUCUUCUCAGAAUUGUUUAUAUCUCGCAAUUCUGACUUUAUAACUCGCAAUUCUGAGUUUAUAUCAUGCAAUUCUAACUUUAUAACUCGCAAUUGUAAGUUUAUAUCUCACAAUUGCGAGAAAAAAAGUCAGAAUUGUGAGUUAAAAAGUCGCAAUUACCUUAUUAUUUUUUAUUUAAUGGCGGAAACAAGCUUCCAUAGUGCGCUAAUGCACAUUUGGAAAAAGGUAGUAGAUAAUCCGAUGUUUAAAGCAUACAGAAAUUUUGCAUACUGCACACAGUAUACAUACUGUACUGUGUACUACAGAAAUAGUAAGAGUAGUAUACUAGUAUGCUAUUUAGGAAAUAGCAUAUGGCUGAAUUUGAAAUAGCACACUAACAUACUACUCUAACUAUUUCUCCCCGUAUAGCAGAAAUAGUAUGAGUAGUAUGCUAUUCUGAAUUCAGCCAAUCAUUCAAAUAUUCAGGAAGAGAACUUUAGACAGGAGAGAGGCUGUGAUGUCAUAUAGCUCCGAAACCUCACAUCCAAUCAGGAUGCUGCGUCAUCACAGUCACUGAAUUUAUUCCUCUACACCAUUUUGUCUUUCUUCACGCUCACUAUCAUACCCCCUUUCCAGUGCUUAUUGUCUCUGGUAUUAGCCUGAUUCCCCACGUCUUUACUGUGUGGGACUCAACACAAACUCAUAUGUAUUAUUAUUACUGCUCAUACUGCACAGAUUAUUCCUGCUAUGCUGUCUUAUGUAACUCAACACGUUUUGUUUUUUUGUUUUGUUUUUUUCAGUCUUGCUUGCUGGUUUAUUAAUAAAGUGACAUCUUCAGGCCUUGAAGUUCA